rnacentral:rRNA from 1 species
UCUCAAGAAAAGAAUUUUAGUUCCGCCCAAAGAGAUUAAUAUAAAUAUAUUAAAAUUACCAUUAAUCUUUGGAGUAAGUUAAAUAAGGUACAGCCUAUUUGACACAGGAUACAACCUUGCCCUAAGGGUAAAACCUCAACGGUCAUAAGUGGGCCUAACAGCAGCCACCUUUAAAAAAGCGUCAAAGCUUAGAAUACACUAAUUUACUUAACACAAUUAACCCCUACAAUUAUACUGAGAAAUUCUAUAACAUUAUAGAAGAUAUUAUGCUAAAACUAGUAACAAGAGGAUCAACCUCUCUCUAAUGCGAACAUAAGUCAGAAAGAACUCAUCACUGACACUUACCACAAAAGUAGCAACCUCCUAGAAAACCCUACUCAAUCAAAUGUUAACCUAACACAAGAGCAUUAUAAGAAAGAUUAAAAGAAAAAGAAGGAACUCGGCAAAUAUAAGUUCCGCCUGUUUACCAAAAACAUCGCCUCUUGCACUCAUAAGAGGUCCAGCCUGCCCAGUGACCCAGUUCAACGGCCGCGGUAUCCUAACCGUGCGAAGGUAGCGUAAUCACUUGUUUUCUAAAUAAAGACUAGUAUGAAAGGCAUCACGAGAACCGAACUGUCUCCACUUUCCAAUCAGUGAACCUAAUCUCCCCGUGAAAAAGCGGGGAUCACCUAAUAAGACGAGAAGACCCUAUGGAGCUUUAAGCACAAUAACACCUGUUAACAAACAUUCAAAUGUUUUCUACACCAUGAUUAUGUGCUUUCAGUUGGGGUGAUUGCGGAGAAAAACUCAUCCUCCACAGUGAAAGGCCCUACACCUAAACAAUAAGUUACAACUUUAAGUAUCAAUAAACUGACACCAUUGACCCAAUAUAUUGAUUAACGAACCAAGUUACCCUAGGGAUAACAGCGCAAUCCACUUCAAGAGCCCCUAUCGACAAGUGGGCUUACGACCUCGAUGUUGGAUCAGGGUAUCCCAGUGGUGCAGCCGCUACUAAAGGUUCGUUUGUUCAACGAUUAAAGCCCUACGUGAUCUGAGU